rnacentral:rRNA from 1 species
GAUGAACGCUGGCGGCGUGCCUAAUACAUGCAAGUCGAGCGAACGGACGAGAAGCUUGCUGCUCUGAUGUUAGCGGCGGACGGGUGAGUAACACGUGGAUAACCUACCUAUAAGACUGGGAUAACUUCGGGAAACCGGAGCUAAUCCCGGAUAAUAUUUUGAACCGCAUGGUUCAAAAGUGAAAGACGGUCUUGCUGUCACUUAUAGAUGGAUCCGCGCUGCAUUAGCUGGUUGGUAAGGUAACGGCUUACCAAGGCAACGAGGCAUAGCCGACGGGAGAGGGUGAUCGGCCACACUGGAGCUGAGACACGGUCCAGACUACUAAGGGAGGCAGCAGUAGGGAAUCUUCCGCAACGGGCGAAAGCCUGACGGAGCAACGCCGCGUGAGUUAUGAAGGUCUUCGGAUCGUAAUACUCUGUUACUAGGGAAGAACAUAUGUGUAAGUAACUGUGCACAGCUUGACGGUACCUAAUCAGAAAGCCACGGCUAACUACGUG